rnacentral:rRNA from 1 species
GCAAGUCGAGGGGCAGCAUUUACUUCGGUAAGAUGGCGACCGGCGCACGGGUGCGUAACGCGUAUGCAACUUACCCACUACUGGGAGAUAGCCCGGGGAAACCCGGAUUAAUACCCCAUGGUAUCCUUUGAUGGCAUCUGAAGAGGAUUAAAGAUUUAUUGGUAGUGGAUGGGCAUGCGUCUGAUUAGUUAGAUGGUGAGGUAACGGCUCACCAUGACGAUGAUCAGUAGGGGUUCUGAGAGGAUGAUC